rnacentral:rRNA from 1 species
GACGAACGCUGGCGGCGUGCUUAACACAUGCAAGUCGAACGGAAAGGCCCUGCUUUUGUGGGGUGCUCGAGUGGCGAACGGGUGAGUAACACGUGAGUAACCUGCCCUUGACUUUGGGAUAACUUCAGGAAACUGGGGCUAAUACCGGAUAGGAUCUCCUGCUGCAUGGUGGGGGUUGGAAAGUUUCGGCGGUUGGUGAUGGACUCGCGGCUUAUCAGCUUGUUGGUGGGGUAGUGGCUUACCAUGGCUUUGACCGGUAGCCGGCCUGAGAGGGUGACCGGCAAAAUUGGGACUGAGAUGCGGCACAGACUACUACGGGAGGCAGCAGUGGGGAAUAUUGCACAAUGGGAGGAAGCCUGAUGCAGCAACGCCGCGUGCGGGAUGACGGCCUUCGGGUUGUAAACCGAUUUCGCCUGUGACGAAGCGUGAGUGACGGUAAUGGGUAAAGAAGCACCGGCUAACUACGUG